UGGGGAAUAUUGGACAAUGGGCGAAAGCCUGAUCCAGCCAUGCCGCGUGAGUGAUGAAGGCCCUAGGGUUGUAAAGUUCUUUUAGCGGGGAAGAUAAUGACGGUACCCGCAGAAUAAGCCCCGGCUAACUUCGUGCCAGCAGCCGCGGUAAUACGAAGGGGGCUAGCGUUGCUCGGAAUCACUGGGCGUAAAGGGCGCGUAGGCGGCCAUUCAAGUCGGGGGUGAAAGCCCAGGGCUCAACCCUGGAAUUGCCUUCGAUACUGUUUGGCUAGAGACCGGAAGAGGUAAGUGGAACGGCGAGUGUAGAGGUGAAAUUCGUAGAUAUUCGCAAGAACACCAGUGGCGAAGGCGGCUUACUGGUCCGGUUCUGACGCUGAGGCGCGAAAGCGUGGGGAGCAAACAGG
rnacentral:rRNA from 1 species